CAUCUCCUCACCAGUGACAUACACGCCCAUACGCCGAAGGUGCGAGAAUACGCUAUUGCCUUCCGCCCAUCCAGCUUUUCAUUCACUUGCACGGCACAAGAAGAGAUCAAAACCACGGAGACGGAGGGCGAAGCACAUCUCCACGUUUUUCCUGCAUCAGCGGCUCUCUCUCUGUGCCCUGUGAUAUAAUCCCCUCCUCGUGCCCUUUGGGCCCUGACCCCACGCCGCCGUCCCCCUUCUGCGCGCGUGUGGGUGCUUGCACCACCUCUCGCCACUCCUUCCCACCGGUGCAGAGGGUUACGGCCAUGUUCUGUUGCUUGCCUGCUUCCUCUUUUUCCACUUCCCUGUUCGCUCGCGCGCUCUGACAGCCGGGUAGAGAGACCGAGGCUUAGACGUAGACGUAUACGCACACGCACCCGCUCCGCAGCAUAAACGCCGACGAGGCAGGUACUUCUUCACCCAUACACGGGGAGAAGAGUGACGAAGGAGCGGUGCGGGGUAGCGAGAGGAGGAGCCUUUCGGUGUCUCUUCCUCUUUGUGGUCUUAGCUUGUUUCUUUGCUUUCCCCGCGCGUGCGUUUGUGUUUGUCUUUGCGCUCACCAACCUUGUCGUGCUUUCAUUGUCUUGCGUUGGUGUCUUGCUGUGCAUUGAGUAUGGGCAGCGGAAAUACGAAGCAGCCCACGGCGGCGCUGACGCCGACGCCGCCAUCCUCCAACGAGAUGCAGAUGCAUUCAGCCUGCAAGAAAAAGGUCGACAUUUCUUCCAGCGCUGACCGCGCCGAGGCGUUUACAGCAGCUGCGCGACUGCCGGCGCAGGCUGCACCACGACCGCCCCCUGUGGUCGUACCCCCACACUCCCCAUCGACACAGACAGGGUGGGUGAACACGACUACCUCCGGCAAUGCCCCAAAGUUGCUGGGCAAGGACAAGUACGUCAAGGAGUACGGCGCCUUGGCCAUGAACAACCGUGCGAAGGCGGCGCUGCUAGGUACGCUGUUUCUCUUUUGUGACCCUGAGACGGAAAGCACGGUGGUGUCGUACCAUGAGAAGAGCACCGGCUCUGUGUACGCGCGCAGCUACACGGAUGAGGAGCUGGGGCAAGCAAAGCAGGCCGCUGGCGUAUGCUUCUCGUGGGCUCCCUUCUUCAAGUCCCUAGCUACAGCCGUGAUCAAGUCCAAGGCAACGGUUACCUCACUCGACCCGACUCGAAAGGACGCCAACUUUACCAUCUUCAAUAGCAAAGACCCCUCCCAAACGUACCCGUUUGUGGUUCCGAUGGAUAUGGUGUCGGAUGGGUCCUCACCGAACGCGCGGGAGGUUUUCCGCUUUGUGGUGCACCCGUUGACACGUGCGUUGCAGUACAAUCGUGCGAACAGCGGCUCGAGCGUGCGGGAGGCGUGCGCGGAGAAGCUGGAGUGUGAGUUGACGGUGCACACCGCUGCGACGAAGCAGCACACCACCUACGUAGGCAAGCUGCUGCCCACGGUGCGCCCACUGCGAGAGGAGUCGGCGCUGCACUCCCACCGCGCCAUGGUGGCUGGUCGCGAGGUGCGCAGCCUCGAGCGACGUCUCAAGGCCCGCGAGGCGCAGAUGAUCACAAAGCACCCACUCGACCAGCUCUACGACGAGGGAGGUGCACAGAGCUUUCAGCACACCUUGUGGUCUCCUGAGCACAUCCCACAUGAGGAGGACCCGGACGAGGUGCUCUCGUUCUGCAUCCGCUGCGCGUUUCCGUUAAGCCCGGGCAUGAAGCUGAGUGACAUCUCAGGUGUGCUGCAGCGGCCCGAGAUUCGGAAGCAGAUGGAGGCGAACGGCAACGGCCAGGUUAUUGCAGAGGCGUUCGAGAUCUUCAAGGGAAUCGACCGCUGGGACUACGACACCAUUCAGCUGGAGAUCAUCACCGACGGCAACGCCCUCUUCUACACGACGUACCUCCUCAUCUACAAGCUGGACCUGGUGCGCUACUUCAACCUGGACGACGCCGUACUGCGCCGCUUCCUCGUAGCUGUGCAGAGCGCCUACCACCCGAACCCGUACCACAACGCCAUGCACGGCGCGGAUGUGACGCAAAUCAACUACUACAUUAUGAUGGUGGCCGGGCUUAGCGAGAAGUGCUGCUUGAGCAAAGAAGAGAUCUUCGCCGGCAUCAUCGCCGGCGCCGUGCACGACUUCGACCACCCGGGCCUCAACAACAACUUCCACUCCCGCACUGGCGCCUACCUCGCCACUCUCUACAACGACAGGUCUAUCCUGGAGAACCAUCACCUUGCCUGCACUUUUGAGCUGCUGCGCAACCCACGCUACAACAUCUUCGCCACGUUGUCGGACGAGCAGCGGCUGCUCGUGCGGGAAACCAUACUGGAGAUGGUUCUGGCGACGGACAUGGGCAACCAUGCGCGCAUCUUCAAGAACUUCCAGGUGCGCAUGUCGGAGACGAGCGACUGGCACUCGAAGAAGGAAGACGUGCGGCUCGCUCUCUCCAUGUCGAUCAAGAUGGCCGAUAUUUCGAACUGCGCGCGGCCCAACCAUAUCUACGCCGAGUGGGCCAAGAACAUCUCGAAGGAGUUUUACCUCCAAGGCGACGCAGAAAAGAAGCUGAAUCUCUCCAUCUCGCCCUUCAUGGACCGGACGAAGGAGGCGGAGGAGUUCCCAAAGGGACAGGUGUCGUUUAUAAUGUAUAUUGUGCAGCCUAUGGUGGAGGCGAUCUCGGUGCUACUGCCAUUUAUGACCUUUGCGGUAAAUAUGUGUAUUGACAACAAGGAGUACUGGCGGCGCAAAACGGAGGAGGCGCAGAAGGCCGAGUCGGUAGAGGACGUCUGUGAUCGAUAAGCCGAAAGGCGCCCCUUCACGGGUGUGAUGCGUCGAAGGAAAACAACAGGGAAGAGAUCCGUAGAUGAGAGGGUGGAGAGGGAAGAGACAGAGCAAAGGGGGAGGCGUGCGUGGUGCAAGAAGAGCGAGAGAGCACAAGAGAGUCGCAGGCCCAGUAGAGGAAGCAAUGACGGGGGGAGGAGGAGAGCCCGCUUUUGCAUCAUGUAAAGUUUUCUUGUGCUCUAUUUUUGGAACAUCUUUUCAUUUUUCUUCGUGCUACGGUUUUUCUAGUUUCGUGCACCUCUCUUCUGUCUUUGUGUAAAUAUAAGCUCUGUUGUUGUUAAGAGUCUCUCCCUCCCCUCUCUCCCUCCACUCCCACCACGAGGUUUCUCUGUUUCUCUGCUUUCUUAUUACCUGCUUCAUUUCGCUUCGCUCUCUUUUUCGUGCUGGAACCCUUUUCACUUUUUUUUUCCGUGCGUGUGCGUCUCUCUCUCUGUGCGUGUUUUCGUGACCUCUUAAAGGUAGGCCAGCAUGGGUGGGUGCCAGACACCUGUCAACGUGACUCUCUCCUGUCAACUGCGUGCCCUGGUUCUGCCCCCGUCUCUUUUUUCCUCUUUUUCUAUCUUGCGAGUGCUACGGUUGUCUCAACUCUCUCCUCUUCCCCUUUCCAUGUGUUGGCUCUUGUCCAUGUCGUCUCUUGAUCUCCCCUGCCCCCCCCCCACUGCCGUCGCAGCUCUCUCUUUUUUCGUUACGUGUGCCUUUUGCUUAGCCGCUGAUCUUGUUGCUGCGGACGUGGUGUGUUGGACGCCUCUAUCUCUGUUCUCCCCUCCCCUUUCCUCCCUGCGCCUUUUGGCGUGUACCUGGGGAGAGGGCAUGCCCGGCGAUGGAGAACGAGCCGCUAUUAUGCGCUCGCGUGCUUUCGGUGCUUCUUCCUUCUCGUGCGUGCAUUACAAACCCCCUUCUCAUUUCUCACCUCACCAUCUCUCUUUACGACAUCCACCGCAGAUAAUGCAUGAGGUAUGUGUCUAGCGUUCACGCAUAUGUUCUGGGUCGUUGACAUUUUUUAUUGCUUUAGAUUCUCGUUUUCACCUCUCUCAGGGCAUUCUUUUUUCGCUCUUUCUCUUUGCCGUUGGAGCUGUUGAAGCCAACUGGCCAUGGAGACUCUCUCUCAAGGGAAGUCUGCGAGGUAUGGCAGAGAAUGGCGUGCACGGACAACUGUGCUUGGAUGUGCAGCAAUGGUCAAUGCGCACAAACAAAAAGGCGGAAAAACGUUUCUCGAAGCAAGAGCGAGCGAGGGAGGAGGAGGAGGUGCGUGUGGGUGUCUUUGGAGGGCGACACGGGGGCAAAGGAAAAGAGAAAACCACCACAGCAACUGCAACAGAAGACAGUGUAAAGGAGAGCGCGCGUACUCACUCGAAUGCCAUCGAAACACGUGCGGAACGUCGUCGAAAUGUACACGCAGCUUCGUUGAUACCGCUUCAUUUUUCUGUUUUGCGCAUCAUUAGGGUGUGUACUCCUUCGUCCUCCAACCCUUCAUCUGGAUGCAGGGUCCGUGGCCAGGAGUGCCUCCUCCGUGCCUUUAACCUCCUCUCUCGUUCCCUUUGGCUGCUGCGCUCUUCCCACACGGCCUUCUUGUUCCGCCUCUCGGCUGCCGUCUCCAUAAG
rnacentral:misc_RNA from 1 species